rnacentral:rRNA from 1 species
CCUACGGGAGGCAGCAGUGAGGAAUAUUGGUCAAUGGGCGCAAGCCUGAACCAGCCAUCCCGCGUGAAGGACGACUGCCCUAUGGGUUGUAAACUUCUUUUGUAUAGGGAUAAACCUACCCUCGUGAGGGUAGCUGAAGGUACUAUACGAAUAAGCACCGGCUAACUCCGUGCCAGCAGCCGCGGUAAU